UGCAUCCUUCGGGGCAGGGUGAAAUUCCCGACCGGCGGUGAUGAAGUGGUGUCACUUCUCAGCCCGCGAGCCGUAUAGGCACGAUCCGGUGAAAUUCCGGAGCCGACAGUAUAGUCUGGAUGGGAGAAGGAUCAC
rfam:Geobacillus sp. Y4.1MC1, complete genome.